rnacentral:rRNA from 1 species
UACGUAGGUGGCAAGCGUUGUCCGGAUUUACUGGGCGUAAAGAGCGCGCAGGCGGUUGUUCAAGUCGGGUGUGGAAGCCCCCGGCUCAACUGGGGAGGGUCACGCGAUACUGAUCGACUCGAAGGCAGGAGAGGGUAGUGGAAUUCCCGGUGUAGUGGUGAAAUGCGUAGAUAUCGGGAGGAACACCAGUGGCGAAGGCGACUACCUGGCCUGUUAUUGACGCUGAGGCGCGAAAGCUAGGGGAGCAAACGGG